rnacentral:tRNA from 1 species
GGAAGCGUAAGGGGACUGGUGUCCCUCCCGGGCUUCAAACCCGGUGCGCCCCAAGUUUAAGGGGCGGGUGGGUUCAAUUCCCACACGCUUCCGCCA